ACAAGUGCCUUUCAGGUUUUUCUGCAAGGUCAAAUGUCCUUUUGACUGGCAGCUGGUCUGCUCUGCUUGUAGUUACUCAGGUAACCUCAAGCAUUGCAGAACUGUUUUCUUUUGUCUGGGGAGAAAAAGGCUUGGAGAAGCAUCAGGAAAACGUUUAUGCAGAAAUUUUGAUCGAGGCCAGCAUAAUGGAACAGGGAGGAAGAGACAUUGCUACUGCCAUCUGCAAAACAUCAACAUCUUCUACAUCAUGCUAAAGUCACUCUGAACUCUCAGCGUAUGAUGACUUUCAAAGAAUUUUCAAAGGCAUAUCCUUAUCAUAUGUUAAACACUGAAGUUAAGAGACUGAAUAUGUCUUAUCAUGUAACCAAUUUGUUAGGUGGGCAUCAGUUAAUUUAUGGUGCUUCAUAGCAGCUACAAAUUCAUACUUCAGUUUGUGUGUUCUGGUGGUAGACAAAUGAUGUGUUUACUUUGUAUUAACACUUUAUUUUGUGCACUUCUGUAUUUUACAAUUAAAAACAUUUUUGUAAAGCAAUAAUAGCUUUCAGGUGCUGAGUUUUGAAUAGUACCUUCUGGAUGUAUUUGCACAAGCCAUCUUUUAUAGAGCUCUCCUUUUAUGAAUAUUGGAUGUAGAUCAUGAAUAGAAAUGCUUGGGAAGUGUACUCAUAGCUUCAAGCCUGAAGCUGUUUUCUGUGGAUAAUCUGUAACACUUUUGAGAAGAGUGUGAAAAAUUUCAUGCUACUAAUAUAACCUCAUUUUGAAUAUGUCAUACAUGUCAGACGGGGAUUUUAGUGUAACAGUAAGAGG